rnacentral:lncRNA from 1 species
CUAGCAUUUCCUGCUGCUCUAUUACAUUGUCUGCCUACCUUUAAGUCAUCAGAAAUAAUCACCCCGUAAUCCCUUUCCUCAGAUGUCGAGGUUAGGACUAUCAAAUAUUCUGUACUCUGCCCUUGGGUUUUUACGUCCAUGAUGCAUUAUCUUGCACUUAUCCACAUUAAAUGUCAGUUGCCACAACUGACCAUUUUUCUAGCUUACCUAAAUCAUUUGCCAUCUGGCUUAUCCCUCCUGGAACAUCAACCCUGUUACAGAUCUUGGUAUCAUCAGGAAAAAGACAUACCUUACCAUCAAGACCUUCUGCAAUAUCACUAAUAAAAAUAUUAAAGAGAAUGGGUCCAAGUACAGAUCCCUGAGGUACCCCACUGGUGACAAGUCCAAGCUUCGAAUAUACUCCAUUGACUACAACCCUCUGUUGCCUGUCACUCAGCCACUGCCUUAUCCAUGCAACAAUAUUGGAAUCCAAACUUAAAAGAUUGCAAUGUAUUGAUAAGCCUUCUAUGUGC